ensembl:lncRNA
GGUGCAGCUAGUGUCUCCAUCAAUCAGCCCGCCCAGGUGAGAGCUCUGAUGCCUGAUUGAUUUAGCUGCUGGAUCCACUUCUGUCACGGCGGAGGACAUGGAGAUGAAGGCGCCCAGACGGCCCGAAGUCAGCGGAAUGAGCCUUGAGGAAGCGGAGAUAUGGAUUGCUCAGAGAGCCAGAGAUGUGCAUGUGAAGUGAAGAGAGAGGCCCUGAGGUCACAUGCACGCUGCCGUGUACCCUGUGCAGCGUAGACUCUUGAUAUUUCACAGCUGCAUUCAUGAGAUCAUACAAAGACGGUGAAGAGAAUCGAGAAUCAUCUGAAGCAAGGCCAAGGAGAAAGGGAGGUUACAGCUCACUUGGCAUUUCAUGUUCAUUGUUUUUCAUUAUCUAUCUUUUUUUUUGCCG